AUUCUACACUGAAUAUUAUCUAGAUAUUAAUGGUGUGGUGAUAUCCCAGAACAAUUCUGAAACACUUGGUAGGUUAAUUACUGAUUUAAUGACUUCUUGUUGCUUUUAGGAUAAAGCAUAAAGUUUCCAACAUAUGAUACUAGUCCUUGCAAGGUCUCUUUAGAUUCAUUUGACCUCAUUCUUCCCUCUCUGUCUGUGAACAAGCUAUGAUAGACCUAGUUUCUUGAAUAUUGUAUGCUCCAUCCAGCCCCAGGAUCUUUGUACUUGCUGUUUCCUCUGCCUGGACAUUUAUUUUCUUCUUCGUUCACUUGCUCACCCUUUAGACUUUGGCUCGAAUGACACUUCUGUUGGGAAGCUUCCUUAUACACUGUCACCAUUGUACUCUUUAGUCACGCUGUAAAACUUUUCUUCAUAGUGCUUAGCACAGUGUGUAAUUAUUCACUUACUUGUGUGUCUAUUUGAUUGAUGUUCAGCUCCUGUACAGGACUCCAUGAGAACAGAGGCCAUAUUUCUUCUACUUAUUAUUUAUAUUGUCUGUAUGUUGUAAAGUGUCUGGCUUAUUGGGUAAUGCUCCACAAAUAUUUGUUGAAGAAAAUAUUGCCUAAUACAUGCAGCAGAGUGGCUGACAUGCAGUAGACUCUGAGUAAAGAGAAGCUAUUAGACUGGUCUCCUAAAAUACCAGGAAGUCUGAAAAUACAGCUCCUGUUUAUUUAUUUGUAUUUUUUUUUUCUUUUUAGGGCUGCACCCAUGGCACAUGGAAGUUCCUGGGCCAGGGGUCGACUCAGAACUGCUGCUGCAGCCCAUGCCACAGCCACGGCAACACAGGCGUCCAAGCCGAGUCUAUGAUCUACACCACAGCUUGAGGCAACCACUGAUCCUUAACCCACUGAGUGAAGCCAGGGAUCAAACUUACAUCUUCAUGGACACUAUGUUGGGUUCUUAACUUGCUGAGCCACAAUUGGAACUCUUGAAAAUAUAGCUCCUGUUGAUGUUUUCUCUCUUACCUUAUGGUUAAUUUGAUUUGACUUUACAUGGAGAACCUGGAAGUUCACUUCCUUGGUGCCUCAAUUUUCUUUUUUUUUUUCUUUUCUUUUUUUGUCUUUUGAGGCCUGCACUCGCAGCAUAUGGAUGUUCCCAGGCUAGGGGUCCAAUCGGAGCUGUAGCCGCUGGCCUAUGCCAGAGCCACAGCAAUGCCAGACCCGAGCUGUGUCUGGAACCUACACCACUGCUCACUGCAAUGCCCAAUCCUUAACACACAGAGCGAGGCCAGGGAUCGAACCGCAACCUCACAGUUCCUAGUCAGAUUCGUUUCUGCUUCGCCACGAUGGGAACCCCCUCAAUUUUCUUAAGAAUGGGUUGAUAGCAGUAGUUACAUCAACCAGUCCCUAGGGAGGCAUGAAUGGCAAAUUGUUGGAGAGAUUUGAAUACUUUUUGGAAAUUAAGUCUUAUACUGUGUAAACCUAUGGACACUAGUGUUGGGUCCUAGCCUCUUACUCUGUUCUUUUACAUCCAUUCUUUCCCUCUGUUUGUUCUAGUCUCAGAGCCUUUGGAAGGAAGGCGGUAGGAUAGUUACAUCUGUUUCCCUUUCUGUCCAGACCAUUUUACAUAUACUAUUUUGUUUUUAAAUAUUCUCACCAACCAUUUGAGACAAGUAUUUGGAUCCCCAUUUGAUGGAUAAAGACAUUGAGGCCUCAAGUUAAGAAAUUUGCCCCAGGUAAUUUAGAUAGUAAAUGAUGGAGCUGGAAUUUAAGUAAAGGUCUCUCUUGUUGCCG
rnacentral:lncRNA from 1 species